rnacentral:lncRNA from 1 species
UGAUGUGAGAGAAAGACGGAAAUAGCCCUGAAUGAGAAAGAACAGCACAAGGGAUUGAUUUCUGUCUGUAAAAACUUUUGAGGAACAUGUUUAUUUCCUAGUCAACCAAGGUAUUCCAACAAAACAAUAUUUGCUGAUUACAAAUCUAAGCUGGACCAAAAAACUCAUACAGGUAUAUGCAGUAUGAAUCAAUCGUGUAAAUCCACAUCCACGCAAUUACAAAACUGGACAGCCUUUAACUACAGUUCCUGGUUCAGUUGGGCAAGAAGCCAGUGGACAUCCAUCAGAUUGCAUUUUCAACCAGUUGAGGCUAAUAUGCUCCAUCCCCAAGCACAAGUACAACAGUACUCCCAUGAAGGCCAAUCCAGCAUCGAGUGCCCCAGAUAGCACGUAAUUGUGGCGACUCCACCAAUCACGAUAAUACCUGUAAGCAAUGAAGCCCGAAGCAAAUCCAAUUAGAAUCCAGCUGGUGUAGUUGACUGCUGUGGCCGGGGGCAUGUUCACUGUAGCUCCUAAGAGCACAGGCAUAGUUAUAUGUCUUAUCCAAGGCCUGUUGGGGAAGGCUUUGUGUGCUAUCCAUACUAAGACAGGAGCUACAGCCCCAGCGAAGAAAAACCAGUUGACACUAGAGUAGUAGCCGAGGUCUCCGAAAAUCCUGCGAGGGCCAAUGAGACCCCAGAUGAUGGAGGCAUCGUAGAAUACAUGGUCUCCAGGACAAGUCCAUGGGCUGCCUGAUGGAAGCAUUUCCCUGUCACAUAUGUCUGGGAUGGUAUUCAUCAACCACCAUGCCGUUCCUAAAUGUGCCAAUGCUGAUAUAAUAGUACCAAAUACUGACAGUAAUCAUCAUAUUGCAAACAUAUAAAAUUACUUACAAUAGCGAAGGUUCUACAAUCAAAGGCAACAAGGGCAUCACACUCAAUGCUAGAGCUUCUUUUACAAUAGCUAUCAUUUUUCAGAAACAAAAAAUAUUAAAACUUCAAAAUGGAAAAUGCCUAAUCUAACUAACAUUCAAACUAAUGUUCAACCUCACUAACAGUUGGAGAAAACGAACUCACGUGAGAAAAAGUUUGGGAGAGCCAGCGACGGGUAACGUGUAACACACGCGCGCAUCUCUAGAGUUGGAAAUUUUCUCGAUUAAUUGGCAGGGAAUCAAGUUGAAGCCUUGUGUGGUCUUACGAGAUAUGCGGUUCAUAACGCCAAUUUGAGACUGCUCAUCUGAGGAUUAAGACUAAAAAUUAUAACCUAAUCACAAUCAUAAUCAUAUUCAAAGUUUUAACUGAAAACGGUAAUGCCGACGAUCAGAGAAGGAAAAUAUACCUGAGUUUUGCGGAGAGGAACGACGUAGAAGAGCUUGACGAAGGAUUUUCCACCUCAAAGACGCUGGUCUUAGCGUCGUUUUGGUGUUAUCGGUUUCCAUAGCGCUAUUCUUCUUCGAAAUCAGCUGCUGCUGGGACUGGGAUAUUUGAGUAAGGAUAUUUGAGUAAAUUGUCCAAACAGGGUGGGAGUUUGGAUAAACGAAAUGCCAAACGUAAAUAUAGUUAGGAUUGUAACACAAAAAUGAUGUGAGAGAAAGACGGAAAUAGCCCUGAAUGAGAAAGAACAGCACAAGGGAUUGAUUUCUGUCUGUAAAAACUUUUGAGGAACAUGUUUAUUUCCUAGUCAACCAAGGUAUUCCAACAAAACAAUAUUUGCUGAUUACAAAUCUAAGCUGGACCAAAAAACUCAUACAGGUAUAUGCAGUAUGAAUCAAUCGUGUAAAUCCACAUCCACGCAAUUACAAAACUGGACAGCCUUUAACUACAGUUCCUGGUUCAGUUGGGCAAGAAGCCAGUGGACAUCCAUCAGAUUGCAUUUUCAACCAGUUGAGGCUAAUAUGCUC